rnacentral:tRNA from 1 species
GGUCGUAUGGUGUAGUGGUUAUCACGUUUCCUUUACACGGAAAAGGCCGCAGGUUCAAUCCCUGCUACGAUCA